AAGCUACUCCCUCUGUUCGGAAUUACUUGUCACAGAAAUGGAUGUAUCUAGACAUAUUUUAGUUCUAGAUACAUCCAUUUUCAAGACAAGUAAUUCCGAACGGAGGGAGUAUGAU
rnacentral:pre_miRNA from 1 species